rnacentral:tRNA from 1 species
CUUCAGAUCUCAGUUGGUGAAGAAUCUGCCUGUAAUGCAGGAGACCCAAGUUCGAUUCCUGGGUUGGAAGA